rnacentral:lncRNA from 1 species
GGGAAAUGCAAUGCCUCCUGGACAGCCUCUUUCCAGUAAUAACCUUGCUCUUUGAAAAUGAGAGCACACGUUUGAUAGCCAGACGACCAUACCAGCCAUAUCAACUAGAUACAUAGUAUCCCCUCAUGUAGUGGAGAAAGGUGAGUCAUUUCCUCAAUGCCACACAAACAGAAGUGGAAGAUCUUGCUCCAUGCCAGAUAUUUUUGUAGACGUUUAAUGCGUUUGUUUUUCAUUUAAAUUUAAGGCAAAGAUUCUUCAAGUGAAAUGAGUUCGAUGAAGCAAAAUUAAGGUGGCUGCCCAACUACUAGAAUUAAGACAACAGAAAACCGUUAAAAGGAAGAAACUUUUUAGGUAAGGGCCAGGAAUGAACUCCAAGGUACGUUGUUACAUGAAGAAGAAACAGUAGGUGAAUAUGAUACAAUUUGUACUUAAAAAAAAAAUUCUCUUCCAACCAUGCAUGAGUUCUCAUACAUCCAUCCAUCGUCUGUCUCUGGAAGGAGGAUACUUGGUGCAGUGGUUUCCUCUGGGGAAAGGAACUGAGGCUUGGAGAGAUAUUUACCUUUCAUUAUGUACUCAUUUAUGCCUUUUUAAUAUUUUAUUAUGUUCAAGUAAUUCUUGUAAAAAUUCUAAAUUUAAGUAAAACCACAAAAAGUAUCAGGAGAUAACAUAACCUUUUGAGAAUUGCUGUUCUUUUGACAGAUUGGAGAAAACUCCUUAGUGCUGACCUUCCUCCCACACUCUUGGCAACCAUCAGUAGCCUGCAAGUCUAUCAUUCCUGACUCCUUUGGACUUGAAACUGUAGUGACUCCUGGCAACCUUAGGGAACAUUGCCCCUGGUCCCGUUGCUAAUAAACAAUUCUUUGACAUGGUUCUGCUUCCCCAUUUCCUGGAAAUUGAGCCAUCCAGGUUGACUAAGCACCAACCAAACCCUCUCAAAUUUACCACUUGUGCCUG